ACGUUGAAACACCAGUUCCCAUAAGAUCACCGAAGUUAAGCAGCGUCCUGCCUGGUCACUACCUAGGUGGGUGACCGUUUGGAAAUACCAUGCGCUGUAAG